AGACAGACAAGAAGGAUAGCGAUAGUCAGGGCAGAAAAUGGCUUCUUGUCAUUAAAACCGUGUGUUUUUGUCAGUUUUUGGUGCAUGUUUUUAGAGAUUUUUGAGUGUAUUUUUGUUUCUAGUGAAGUUUUAAACUGUUAUUUAUACUUUUUGGUGAUUAUUACAAACAUUUUUGGACCGCAUAGACGAUUUUUUAGUUGUAUUUGUGUUGAAAUGGUUGAAUCUUGCAGUGCAGUGAAUUGUAGCAAUAGGCGAACAAAGGAGGUUAAAAUGAAGUUUCACAGAAUUCCCAAGGACCCCAACUUAAGAAAGUUAUGGUUACUGG